rnacentral:rRNA from 1 species
CAGUAGCCGCGGUAAUACGUAGGUGGCAAGCGUUGUCCGGAUUUAUUGGGCGUAAGGCGAGCGCAGGCGGUCAAUUAAGUCUGAUGUGAGAGCCCCCGGCUCAACCGGGGAGGGUCAUUGGAAACUGGUUGACUUGAGUGCAGAAGAGGAGAGUGGAAUUCCAUGUGUAGCGGUGAAAUGCGUAGAUAUAUGGAGGAACACCAGUGGCGAAGGCGACUCUCUGGUCUGUAACUGACGCUGAGGCUCGAAAGCGUGGGUAGCAAACAGGAUUAGAGACCCGAGUAGUCCCUGUCUCUUAUAC